AGGAAUUUAUUUAGUUAUUUUUUUAAUAAAAGUAUUUUUUCGUUUUUUAAAUUUUUUGAAUUAAUUUUUUUUUCUUUUAGUUUAUUUGUAUAGUGAUUGGUUAUUGAAAUAUAUUGAAAAUUUUUUUAUUUAUAAGAAUAUUUUAUUUAUAGUACCUUGUGUAUCAGGGUUGAUUAAUUAAAUUUUAUGAUUAAUUUUUCUCGAAUUUAAGAGAGUUAUAUUUUUAUUGAUUUUAUUGUUGAAUUAAUAUUUAUAAUUUAGUUAUGGUUAAGAAAUUUAAUUCGUUCUUGAAUAUAUCUAGUUAUUGAAGAAUUUAAUUUAAUUUUUUCGGUUUUAAUUUAUUUAUUUUUUUUUAUUUUUAAUUUUUGGUCGUUAAACUUUAAUUGGGAUAAUUUAUUUAAGGUAUUUUUAUAAAAAUUUUAUUUUUUUUAUUAUGUAGAGUUAGAAGUUUUUUUCUUUAAAAGUGUUUUAUAAUUUUUUAAUUUAUGUUUUUGAUUUAUUUUUUUUUAAUUUUUUUAUUCAAUUUUUUUUAUUAAUUUAUUUGGUAAUAAAUAAUGAUUAAAUUAGUAGAUUUAUUUGUUUGUUUAUUUUUUUAAAAAGGUUUUACAAAGUAAUUCGGCAAUUUUAUUUUCCGUCUGUUUAUUAAAAACAUAGCUUUGUUGAUUUUGAUUCAAAGUAUUGUCUGCCCACUGAUUAUUUAAAUGGCCGCGGUAUAAUGACCGUGCAAAGGUAGCAUAAUAAUUAGUUCUUUAAUUAAGAGCUGGAAUGAAUGGUUAAACGAGAGAAUGACUGUCUCUGUUAAAUUUAUUUGAAUUUUACUUUUAAGUGAAAAGGCUUAAUUUUAUUUAAGGGACGAGAAGACCCUAUAGAGUUUAAUAGUUUAAAAUAAUUAAUUAUUUGGAAUUUAAUUUUUAGUUGUUUUUAAUUAUUUGGUUGGGGAGAUUACUAGAAAAGAUAAACUCUAGUUUAUUUUUACAUUUAUUUAUGGAUUUUUGAUCCUUUAUUAUGGAUUUAAAGAUUAAAUUACCUUAGGGAUAACAGCGUAAUAUCUUUGUAGAGUUCGUAUCAAUAAGGGUGUUUGCGACCUCGAUGUUGGAUUAAAAUAAGUUUUUGGUGUAGCAGUUAAAAUACUAAGUCUGUUCGACUUUUAAAUUUUUACAUGAUCUGAGUUUAGACCGGUGUGAGCCAGGUUGGUUUCUAUCUUUAAUAAUUUUAUAAUUUUUUAGUACGAAAGGACCAAAAAUUUAAUAUAUUAUUUUUUAUUUGACUAAA
rnacentral:rRNA from 1 species